UACGUAGGUGGCAAGCGUUUGUCCGGAAUUACUGGGCGUAAAGCGUGCGCAGGCGGUUCGUUGUGUCGGCGGUGAAAGCCCCGGGCUUAACCUGGGAAUGGCCGUUGAAACUGGCGAACUGGAGUGUGGCAGAGGGGGGGUGGAAUUCCGGCGUGUAGCAGUGAAAUGCGUAGAGAUGCGGAGGAACACCGAUGGCGAAGGCAGCCCCCCUGGGCUAACACUGACGCUCAGGCACGAAAGCGUGGGGAGCAAACAGG
rnacentral:rRNA from 1 species